rnacentral:rRNA from 1 species
GAUGAACGCUGGCGGCGUGCUUAACACAUGCAAGUCGAACGAGAAAUGUAGACGGAAACCUUCGGGCGGAAGCCUUCAUUUCGAGUGGCGGACGGGUGAGUAACGCGUGGGUAACCUGCCUCAUACAGGGGGAUAACAGUUGGAAACGACUGUUAAUACCGCAUAAGACCACAGCAUCGCAUGAUGCGGGGGUAAAAACUCCGGUGGUAUGAGAUGGACCCGCGUUCGAUUAGCCAGUUGGCGGGGUAACGGCCCACCAAAGCGACGAUCGAUAGCCGAUCUGAGAGGAUGACCGGCCACAUUGAGACUGAGACACGGCCCAAACUCCUACGGGAGGCAGCAGUGGGGAAUAUUGCACAAUGGGGGAAACCCUGAUGCAGCGACGCCGCGUGAGUGAAGAAGUACUUCGGUAUGUAAAGCUCUAUCAGCAGGGAAGAAAAUGACGGUACCUGAGUAAGAAGCCCCGGCUAACUACGUG